UACAGAGGGCGCAAGCGUUAUUCGGAUUCACUGGGCGUAAAGCGCACGUAGGCGGCUCUGCAAGUCGGUUGUGAAAUCCCCGGGCUCAACCUGGGAACUGCGACCGAGACUGCAUUGCUAGAGUAUGGGAGAGGAAAGCGGAAUUUCUGGUGUAGCAGUGAAAUGCGUAGAUAUCAGAAGGAACAUCAGUGGCGAAGGCGGCUUUCUGGACCAAUACUGACGCUCAGGUGCGAAAGCGUGGGGAGCAAACAGG
rnacentral:rRNA from 1 species